GAUGAAGAACGUAGCGAAAUGCGAUACGUAAUGUGAAUUGCAGAAUUCAGUGAAUCAUCGAAUCUUUGAACGCACAUUGCGCCUGCCAGCACUCUGGCAGGCAUGCCUGUUCGAGCGUCAUUUCAACCAUCAAGCCCUAGGCUUGCGUUGGAGCCCUGCGGCUGCCGCAGGCCCCUAAAAGCAGUGGCGGGCUCGCUAUCACACCGAGUGCAGUAGAUUACUCUUCGCUCAGGGCGUGUAGCGGGUUCCAGCCGUGAAACCCCCUACUUCUCAAGGUUGACCUCGGAUCAGGUAGGAAUACCCGCUGAACUUAAGCAUAUCAAUAAGCGGAGGA
rnacentral:misc_RNA from 1 species